rnacentral:lncRNA from 1 species
GUGCAGGUUGGCCUUCCCUCAAGUCCGGUAGCUGGGGCCAGACACCGGACAGGCCCAGCGAAGGUCUUACUGCGGGCGAACGCUGCGUGUGGCGUUCCUGUGGGGAAAGACUCGAAAGGUCUGGGGCCUAAAUAAGCCUUAUUAGGCUCCCCAAGUCGGCGUUGCUCACUCCAGGCACAGCCAACUCCCUUGUACCUAUGAUACACGCUUUAGAAACAGAAUACUUUGGUUCAAAGAAAAAAAUGGCUCUCAGUCCAUCUGUAGUUCCUCAAGAAAGUGAAGAAAACAAUGCAAACUGUGUAGAAACGAAACAGUCACAAACUGCUUCCACUGCAUCAGAGGACCCCCUUCAACACUUAUGCUUA